rnacentral:rRNA from 1 species
AGAGUUUGAUCCUGGCUCAGGACGAACGCUGGCGGCGUGCUUAACACAUGCAAGUCAAGGAGAACGUCCCGCUUGCGGGACUAUUAAACUGGCGAACGGGUGAGUAACGCGUAGGUAACCUACCCUUAAGCUCGGGAUAACCCACCGAAAGGUGAGCUAAUACCGGAUAAUAUCUUUCCUCAUAAGGGGUAAAGAUCAAAGGUGGCUUCGGCUAUCACUUAUGGAUGGGCCUGCGUCUGAUUAGCUAGUUGGUAGGGUAACGGCCUACCAAAGCAAUGAUCAGUAGCUGGUCUGAGAGGGCGAUCAGCCACAUUGGGACUGAGAUACGGCCCAGACUCCUACGGGAGGCAGCAGUGGGGAAUUUUGCGCAAUGAGCGAAAGCUUGACGCAGCAACGCCGCGUGAUCGAAGAAGCUCUGCGGAGUGUAAAGAUCUGUCAUAGGGGAAGAAAAAUUUCGUUAUUAACACCAUCGGAACAUGACGGUACCCUAUAAGAAAGCCCCGGCUAACUUCGUGCCAGCAGCCGCGGUAAUACGAGGGGGGCAAGCGUUGUCCGGAUUUAUUGGGCGUAAAGAGUUCGUAGGCUGGUUGGUCAGUCGAAAUUGAAAUCCCACGGCUUAACCGUGGACCCGGUUUCGAUACUGCCAAUCUUGAGUGAGGUAGAGGUAAGCGGAAUUCCUGGUGUAGCGGUGAAAUGCGUAGAUAUCAGGAGGAACACCAAAGGCGAAGGCAGCUUACUGGACCUAUACUGACGCUGAGGAACGAAAGCGUGGGGAGCAAACAGGAUUAGAUACCCUGGUAGUCCACGCCGUAAACGAUGAGUACUUGGUGGUGGGGGAUUCGACCCCUUCACUAUCGGAGCUAACGCGUUAAGUACUCCGCCUGGGAACUACGACCGCAAGGUUGAAACUCAAAGGAAUUGACGGGGACCCGCACAAGCGGUGGAUUAUGUGGUUUAAUUCGAUGCAACGCGAAGAACCUUACCUGGACUUGACAUGUUAGUGAAACUCUGGUGAAAGCCAGAGCUUCUGCGAGCUUGCUCAAGGACACUAUCACAGGUGAUGCAUG